rnacentral:rRNA from 1 species
AUGGGUUCCCUCACAAACGGUGAGGUUGCUGAUUCUGAGACUCAGGUGACUCCCUUUGCUAAAGCUGGGUUUUUCAGCAAGAUGUCAUUUUGGUGGUUGAAUCCUCUAAUGAAGAUGGGCUACAAGAAACCCCUUGAGGACAAAGACAUGCCACUUUUAGGUGCCACAGAUCGAGCAUGCAACCAGUACUCGAUGGUCAUGGAGAAGAUGAAUGGCAAGGAGUCGCUAUCACACGCCACACCAUCAUUCUUCUGGACUAUUGUUUCUUGUCACAGGCGUGCAAUCUUGGUCUCAGGAUUCUUUGCUUUGCUCAAGGUUCUCACCUUAUCUGCUGGCCCAGUAAUCCUCAAGGCGUUCAUCAAUGUAUCACUUGGGAAAGGGACCUUUAAACACGAAGGCUAUGUGCUAGCUGCGUUAAUGUUCAUCUGCAAAUUCUGUGAAUCCCUGUCACAGAGACAGUGGAAUUUCCGCACUCGGAGAUUAGGACUGCAGGUGAGGUCAUUCCUGUCAGCAGCUAUUUAUAAGAAACAGCAGAAGCUAUCAAAUGCAGCAAAAAUGAAGCACUCUUCUGGAGAAAUUUUGAACUAUGUGACGGUCGAUGCCUAUCGGAUUGGGGAAUUCCCAUUCUGGUUCCAUCAGACAUGGACAACGAGUGUUCAGCUUUGCAUUGCUCUGGCAAUUCUAUACAAUGCGGUUGGUGCUGCAAUGGUUUCAUCUUUGGUCGUUAUUAUUAUUGCUGUACUGUGCAAUGUUCCAUUGGCCAGACGGCAACACAAAUUUCAGAGUAAACUUAUGGAAGCACAGGAUGUGAGAUUGAAGGCCAUGUCUGAGUCAUUUGUUCAUAUGAAGAUCUUGAAACUUUAUGCAUGGGAAGCUCACUUCAAGAAGGUCAUCGAGGGGUUGAGAGAGGUUGAGUACAAGUGGUUGUCAGCAUUCCAGUUUAGGAGGGCAUACCAUAGUUUUCUGUGUUGGGCAUCACCUAAUUUUGUUUCUGCAGCGACCUUUCUAACAUGCUAUCUUUUGAAGACCCCCCUUGAUGCUAGCAAUGUCUUCACUUUUGUGGCAACCCUGCGUCUCGUGCAAGAGCCAGUUAGGUCAAUACCAGAUGUUAUCCGCGUUGUGAUACAAGCUAAGGUUGCUUUCACUCGAAUAUCAAAGUUCCUUGAUGCAUCUGAGCUUAACGGGCACGUUAGGAAAAAAUACAACAUUGGCACUGAUUGCCCUGUACCUAUAGCGAUGAAUUCGUGUAGCUUCUCAUGGGAUGAGAAUACAUCAAAACCAGCUCUAAAUAAUAUAAAUCUGAUAGUGAAAGCUGGAGAAAAGAUUGCAAUUUGUGGAGAGGUGGGAUCAGGAAAAUCGACGCUUUUGGCUGCUGUACUUGGAGAGAUCCCAAAAACCAAAGGCACGAUCCAAGUCUGUGGGAAAUUAGCAUAUAUUUCUCAGAAUGCAUGGAUCCAAACAAGAACCGUGCAAGACAAUAUUCUCUUUGGAUCACCGAUGGACGUGGAAAGAUACCAGAACACACUCGUGAGGUGCUCGUUGGUCAAGGACCUUGAGAUGUUGCCAUAUGGAGAUUGUACUCAAAUUGGGGAGAGAGGAGUAAAUCUUAGUGGUGGUCAGAAGCAGCGGGUCCAGCUUGCUCGUGCACUAUACCAAAAUGCAGACAUCUAUCUUCUUGAUGACCCUUUCAGUGCCGUUGAUGUCCAUACAGCCACAAGUCUCUUCAAUGAAUAUAUCAUGAGUGCUCUAUCAGACAAGACUGUUCUUUUGGUGACCCAUCAAGUUGAUUUUCUACCUGUAUUUGACUCCAUUUUGUUAAUGUCAGAUGGAGAAGUUAUCCGGUCUGCACCUUAUCAAGAUCUAUUGGCAGAUUGUGAAGAAUUUAAAGACCUUGUAAAUGCCCAUAAAGAUACGGUGGGUGUUUCGGAUCUUAAUAACAACUCAGACUCUCAAAGAGCUAAGAAAGUAUCGAUCAAGGAGACAGUUGGUAUUCAUGGAAGCAGAUAUACAGAGUCUGUGAAGCCAUCGCAGGAAAAUCAACUGAUCAGGAAAGAGGAAAGGGAAACAGGGGAUGCAGGUGUUAAGCCUUAUAUGCUUUACCUGCGCCAGAACAAAGGUUUCCUGUAUUUCUCUUUUUGUGCUAUUUCUCACAUAGUUUUCAUAGCUGGGCAAAUAUCACAGAAUUCAUGGAUGGCUGCUAAUGUUCAAAAUCCUGAUGUUAGUACACUGAAGUUAAUUUAUGUGUACAUUAUUAUUGGAGUUUGCACAAUGCUCUUCUUACUAUCAAGAUCUUUAGGAAUCGUUGUUCUUGGGAUCCAGACAUCACGAUCCUUAUUUUCCCAGUUGCUCAAUUCAUUUUUCCGUGCACCAAUAUCCUUUUUUGAUUCUACUCCUCUAGGAAGGGUUCUUAGCCGGGUCUCUUCAGAUUUGAGUAUUGUUGACCUUGAUAUUCCAUUUGCCUUUGUGUUUAGCCUUUCUACUAGCUUAAAUGCAUAUAGCAAUCUAGGGGUAUUGGUUGUUAUUACAUGGCAAGCUCUGUUUGUAUCCGUGCCUAUGAUAGUUUUGGGAAUUUGGUUACAGAGGUACUAG